rnacentral:lncRNA from 1 species
CCACCACCACCCCUACUACCACCACCACCGCUACCACUACCACCACCACCACCGUUACUACCGCCACCACCGCUACUACACCAUCCCUACUACCACCACCACCGCUACCACCACCACCACCACCACUACCACCACCGCUACUACACCAUCCCUACUACCACCACCACCACCACCGCUACUGUAACCACUACCACUAAUACCACCACCAUCACCACUGCUACUACCACCACCACCACCCUUACUACCACCACCACCGCUACUACCACCACCACCACCACCACCAUUACUACCACCACCACCACCACUACUACCACCACCAACACUAACACCACCAUUGCUACUACCACCACCAACACCAUCACGCUACUACCACCACCACUGCUACUAUCACCACCACCGCUACUACCACCACCACCACUAUUACCACCACCAACACUACUACCACCACCAACACUACCACCACCACCGCUACUACUGUACCACCACCAUCACUACCACCACCACUACUACUGUCCCACCACCAUCACCACUACUACUGUACCACCACCAUCACUACCAUCACUACCGCUACUACUGUACUACCACCAUAACCGCUACUACUGUACCACCACCAUCACUACCACCACUACCGCUACACUGUACCACCACCAUCACUACCACCCCCACUACCACCACCACAACCGCUACUACCACAACUUCUACUAUCACCACUACCACCGCUACCACCACCACCGCUACAACCCUCACCACCCCUAAUACCACCCCCACUACCACCACCACCACCACAACCGCCACUACCACCACCACCACAACCACCACCACAACCGCUACUACCACCAUUGCUGCUGCUGCUCUGGGGUAAAUAUGACUUUAAUUGUCUAACGGAGAUGGUGGCCCCGGCGUGGUGUAUGUGAACAUGUGUCCCCGGAGCGUCACACAUCUGCAGAGGGAGAUUGGGGAUGUGGGGGAGAGGGUGCAUGGGUUUGUGGGAUGCGUGGUUAAUUUGAACUGCGGGUUCAGACAGGGACAGAGGGGUAAAGGGGUUGGAGGGGGUGGUGUCUGUGAAGUGUGAAUGCCCUGUCAUUCUGCCUUUGUGCCGGGCUGGCCUAAUGAAUUCC